UGCAGGCACUCAAAAUGGUCCAGUGUUUGACAUAUCAACGUAGGAUUUCCUACACUACAGCCUCUAACAAAACUAGGCUGUCCCAGACCCCUGGUAAUAGAAUUGUUUACCUUUAUACCAAGAACGUUGGGAAAGCACCAAAAUCAGCAUGUGGCAUGUGCCCAGGCAGGCUUGGAGGGGUUCGUGCUGUAAGACCUAAAGUUCUUAUGAGAUUAUCCCACACAAAGGAACAUGUCAGCAGGGCCUAUGGUGGUUCCAUCUGUGCUAAAUGUGUUCAUUUAGCACAGAUGUGCUAAAUGUGACAGGAUCAAGCGUGCUUUCCUUAUCGAGGAGCAGAAAGUCAUUGUGAAAGUGUUAAAGGCGCAAGCACAGAGUCAGAAAGCUAAAUAAAAAAUGAAACUUUUUUGAGUAAUAAAAAUGAAAAGACUUGCU